ACUAGCUAAGGUAUGGCCGUGCAGAAAUCUUUCGCCAUGACGGCAAUGUUGUGUGUUUGUCUACAUACGACAGCAGCAGUUCCAGUCUUAGAGAGAGUUGAUGAAGACUGGGUAAAGGAAGCGCUUGAUGUAGUGUUGGCGGAGGCGUCAGUGUCUCACUGUUCUUUAAUUUUCAUCAUGGACAGGACGUCUUCUUAUUCUUAUGAUGCGUUGAGGAUCUGUGUGCCCGCAAACAAGACAGGUGGGGAUGUGGUCUUCGAUGUGGCAGACGACAGAAGCGUUGGUGUCAAUCUCACCAUGACGCAAGUAGUGGCUCAGGCUCGUAAGGUG